rnacentral:rRNA from 1 species
GACGAACGCUGGCGGCGUGCCUAAUACAUGCAAGUCGAGCGAACAGACCAGGAGCUUUCUCCUCUGGGGUUAGCGGCGGACGGGACAUUAACACGUGGAUAACCUACCUAUAAGACUGGGAUGACAUCGUGACACCUGAGCUAAUACCCAAUAAUAUAUUGAACCUCGUUGUUCAAUAGUGAAAGACGGUUUUGCGUUCACUUAUAGAUUGAGCCGGGCCGCAUUAGCUAGUUGGUAAGGUAAUGGCUUACCAAGCCAGCGAUGCGUAGCCGACCUGAAAGCGGGAUCGGAGAGACGGGAGCCGAGACAGGGCCGAGACUCCGACGAGAGGCCGCAGUAGGGAAUCUUUCGGGAAGGGCGAAAGCCGGACGGAGGAAAGACGCGGGAGGGCUGAAGGAGUUAUGACGGUAAAACGCUGUUAUUAGUGAAGAAGUAAUGUGUAAGUACCUAUGAUGGUAUUGACGGUACCUAAAGAGAAAGCCCCGGCUAACUACGUG